rnacentral:snRNA from 1 species
UCAAAUGUCGAGAAAAUCAU